rnacentral:snRNA from 1 species
GGAUGUGAGGGCCAUAUGGCUGCAUUAUCUGUCACUCUGUUGAUUGUCAAGGUAAAUUGGGCUUAUCAGGUUGGCUAGGUGGGUGUCCCCUUCCUUUUUCACUGCUCCAUGUGCGGCCCUCUCAAAGCAGCAUGCUCAAAGAGGACAGCCUUCCCCGAGGGUAUACAAGUAGCUUCACUCCACUGCUAGAACCUCCAAACUCUGAUGAGUCCAAGAGAACAUGGUGUUUUUAUAUAAAAUUGUAUUGCUAGUUUACAGUGGGAUUUUGAUGAAUUUUUCAUUCAAU